UCUGGGAAAGGAGAGAGCCGGAUUGUGUGGGGCCAACUCUGGACUGGCAUUUGAGCCCCAACAAAUACCAUAUUGUCUGUGCUGCAAAGAGGCUGCUGCUGGUAUCUCCGGGAGAGUGUUUACUCGCUUCUAAAUUACACCAUUGUCCACGCAAGGAGAAAGUCAGCUACCGAGGGGAAAACAGAGGAUGGGAAAACAGUUCUUUUUGACAGGAAGAGGAGGGUUCUUCCGCGCUCCUGGUGUCCUGAGGCAACGUUCAGUGAUGAAUUUUCUCGGCAAAGCCUGGUCCUGAGCUGGUCCUCACUGGAGCUACCUGCGAAACCUUUUCCUGAAAUGACCGACGUGGCUUUUGCAACCAGUUAGCACCUGCUCUCAGAACUCGAUCCCCCUCCCUAAUUGGUUUCAAGUGGAGCCAGGGGAUCAGGACUUAAUUAGCAGCAAUACAGCUCAUACUGAUCGGUUCCCCCUGCUUCCCCGGGCCCCAGGUUUGUCUCCACUUGGAAUCCCUGUGCCUGCUGGACACGUGUGUCUGCAGUGUUCAGGCAGCAGUGCUUGGGGCAGCACCGGGCAGGGCAGGGACCCCCCCGGUGGCAGCUGGUCUCAGGCCACCCUCUGCCCGUGCCCCUCACCCCCUACCCUAGCCAGCCCUGCACCUCCUCCUUGCCCCACUUCGGAGUCGCCCGCUACGCCAGGGCCCGUCACCUCGGCCACCCUGACUAAGAGGCUGACUGGAGUGGGGUCACCCUCACAGGCUGCUGGAUGGGCCACAGAGGCCUCAGCCCCUUGUCUUUGCUGGCCCCUGGGCUGCUGAAGAAGGUUCUUGUUUUUGUUUUUUUUUUUCCCUUCACCAAAAAGGGGAAAUGCCUCCUGCUCUGUACCAGCUUGAAGCCAAAAUAACAUGUUUUGGCAACCAUGAUUUGGCAAUUAGGGCCUCAGCGCACUGAAAGCAUUCUUCCAUGCAAAAUAUGCCUUGGAAAGAAAACACGAAACCACAUCUGAGUGAAAAUGUAGGAAGUGAACAAAGGGGUGACAAAGCAGUGAGAGUCAGGAAGGGGGAGCGUUGCGGGGGUGGGGGGCUCCGACACGUCUGGGGAGGCCAGACCACGGCUGGACGCCUGGAUGUUUCCACAGACCCAACUCUGGAGCAGUCCAGGGGAGGCUGGAGGCUGAGCCCUGCAGGAUCCCUCAUCUCUGUGAUGCAGUGGCAGCAGAGGGCGGCAGGAUAAGGACCAAGAUGCUGGCUUCAUCUUCCUUAUGGCCCUAAACUACCAUCUGAAAGUGCACCAGAAAGUGUAAAUGGAUUUCACUGGUGAGUCUGAUAUUACCAAGGAGGUUAUUUAUUACCCUAUCAGUGUGCAAAUAUCCCUUGAACACUGGUUUCAUUUUACAAUUGUGAAUUACGUUCCCCUCACUAUUUAUUAACUUUUUGACAAUUUUUCUAAUAACACAGACUGUUAGCAUAGAAAUUUUUAAAUCCUGGUUUGCUUAUGCAUGACCAUUGGAUGAACCACUUUAAUCACAGAGAUAUGUCCAUUUCUACAUGACUUAUUUCUGUAUAAUCAUUCACCUGAUAACUAUAAUAUAGUCAUUGCAAAGACAUUUCUGAAUUUAGCUUUCAUAAUGAAAAUAAAGUGUUGGGAUUUUAAAAGCA
ensembl:lncRNA